rnacentral:lncRNA from 1 species
GUGUGUGAUGUGUUAGUCACUCAGUCGUGUCUGACUUUUUGUGACCCUAUGGACUGUAGCCCCCUCCAGGCUCCUCUGUCCAUGGAAUUCUCCAGGCAAGAAUACAGGAGUGGGUUGUCAUUCCCUUCUCCAGGGGAAUCUUCCCAACCCAAGGAUCAAACCUGGUCUCCUGCAUUGCAGGCAGAUUCUUUACCAUCCGAGCCACCAGGGAAGGAAUCAGUAUUAACUGGAGGGUCUGUAAAACGCAGAUGACUGAGUCCAAAACCCAGUUUCAGAUUCAGGAUGUCUCUGGUGGAGCACCUGAAUUUGCAUGUCUAACAAGUUCUUUUGUCUAGGGACCAUACUCUGAGAACCACUGAGUCAGAGCAGUAGAAGGAUUUGGUGAUAAGGUUCCUCCAAUGACUCACAUUUUUUGUACUUACAUUUUUACAGCACAUCUACUGCAUAUACGGUCUUGGGCUGGGUGCAGCAGCGGAUAUAAGGAUAGGAUUUAGGUCUUGAUUACACUUGAGCAGAUUUAUUCUCUAAGUGGAUCUAUUCUCUAAGAAGCCAGGAAGCCUAAGUGUCAGUUCAGACAGAGCAGAGAUCUCCUCCCUUGGGAAAAGAUAAAGCUCGUAAAAGAAGACUCUGUGACUCCUCCGAAAAUGCCUAGGACACGUGGAAAUGGUGGAAAAUUGCAGAAUUCUUUCCGUCUCAGCAUAGAUAAAAAAAAAAAUCAACCCAACAGACCUGAACAAACACCUGGAAAAGGUCUGCGGCAUUCAUGCCUCAGGCUCCAGCACUAAUAAUCUGCAAAGUGCUUGCAUUAAAACGGGGGAAAGUGUUCUCAGUGUCAAGGUCUCAAAAGACUUCUUGGGAGGGGGUAGACAUGGCUUCGCCUUCCCUUUACAGUUUCCAGAGAUCGGGUUCCGGCGGAAGCCGGGGUGUGCGGUGACUUGGCAAACGGCGCGGCUUGAGCGCUUUAAUAACCCAAAGGCUGAGCAGGGCGCUGUGGUGAGGCCCGUGUCAAGCGAAGGGGGCCACACGCUGGACCAUCAUUCAGAACCAGCCUCAGAUUCAGGGGUAGCGGCGGCGGCUGGGGUCCGAGAGCGCGGCACCUUUGAGACAGACCUGAGGAGUGAGGACGAGCGCCGGCCAGAGGCUGGGAAAACCGGCGAUAAGGGAGGGCGGUGCCGGAGAAGGGCGGCGCGUGGCUGACUCAUCCCUCUGGAAGAUAAGACUGACAGACGCAAACCCUUGCCGAACCCGCCCGCCCGGCCGCGCUGCUCCGGGUCGGCUGGGAGGCGCCCGCCCGCGCCGCCAGCCCGCCUGCCAGCCAGUCUUCUCCGGGAGCGCUCUCCCGGCCCGGCCGCCUCAGAGAAAGUUUUCGUCGUCGGGAGGGACCGGAGGUGCCGCGGGCCUUCGGGGAAGGGAAGGAGGACGCAGGAGGAGGCUUCAGCCGCGCGGGCCCGGGGAGUGCAUGGUGCCCGGCGCCUCGGCCGCCUAUCAGGAGGACGUCGGGGCGGGGUCGGGCUGAGGCCAGCUCCUUCUUUCCCGAGGCCUCGUCAGAAAUCGCCCUCCCGGACUGCCGCGGGG